rnacentral:rRNA from 1 species
CAGUCGCCGCGGGAAUACGAAGGGGGCUAGCGUUGUUCGGAAUUACUGGGCGUAAAGCGCACGUAGGCGGAUAUUUAAGUCAGGGGUGAAAUCCCGCAGCUCAACUGCGGAACUGCCUUUGAUACUGGGUAUCUUGAGUAUGGAAGAGGUUAGUGGAAUUGCGAGUGUAGAGGUGAAAUUCGUAGAUAUUCGCAGGAACACCAGUGGCGAAGGCGGCUAACUGGUCCAUAACUGACGCUGAGGUGCGAAAGCGUGGGGAGCAAACAGGAUUAGAUACCCCGGUAGUCCCUGUCUCUUAUAC